rnacentral:lncRNA from 1 species
CUGGUAUAACAAUUCUUGUUUUAUAUUUUAUUACACUGGAACAGCUCGUGUCCUCUGUCUCUUGCCUCAGUGCCUGGGUGGCUUGCCACCCACAAAUACAAUUAUGGGUUUCUACCAGCAAGAAAAUCUCAGAGAAAAUAGAGAUUCUCAUGCAUAUUUUAUGAAGCCCUCACAUGGUAUAGAGAGUAUCCUAUAAGGGCCCAACACACAAGGGAAAUUGUGACACUUGUAUGCACAAGCAGCCUACAGUAUUAAUAGCCAUUCUCGUACAUGAACACCGCUCACUGUAGAGGUUCUGAAUCUAAAACCCAGAGGCAGUCAAAAGUUAAAAAAUUGUCCCCCAUAUGUGAAUCCAGUCACAGGUAUUGGUGACUCUCAGGCCAAUAUUCAGCACACCUUUAAGACUGUGACUUUACUAAAAAGACACAGUAAGCAGGAAGGAUUGAGGCUUUCAUGCAUGGAUUAAGUACAUGAUUGAGAUUGGGACUCAUGUACUUUGACCCAACAUACAAAGUGUUGACUCUCGUACCUGGAACAAAGACACACGUGAGAUUGUCAAUCUCAUCUCUAAAUCAUCCUGCAGGUGUGAUUGUAACAUACACCUUUUCCCAGCACCUGAGUGAUUGGAUCCUCCUACCUCAGCCUAGUCCCCAGAAAAAAAUUUUGACAUAUUGCUGGACUGAGCACCUAGAUGAUGUGACUCUAUUUUCUUGGAGCUGCACACAGUGGGUAGUUUGACAUAUUGCUGGGCUGUGAAUUCAGGUGAUGUGAGUCACCUCUCCACAUUCCACAGGGGGCAUUGUGACAUAUCACUUGGCCUCACAUCCAGGUUAUAUGACUCCUGCCCGCACCCUACACACAUGAGCCAUUUGUGACAUAAUGGCCAGCACCCAGAUUUCACUGUGACAUAUCUCUGGCCCCAUCACCUAUAUGAUUUGACAGUCUUCUUUGUUCUGGGACCUCUCCACAGUAGGCAUUGUGAUAUAUCACUUGGCCUAGCAGAGAGCAUUGUGACAUACCCGCGAGCCAAGCACACAGAUGAUGUUAUUCUGCUGCCUGUGCCCUGCUUUCAGGAGUGGAUUGCAAUGUAACACUGGCUGAGUACCCAGGUUAAUGACACUGUUGCCUGGUCCCUGUUCUCAGGGAAGACUGUAAUAGACCCCUGACCCAAUAUCCAGGGGACAUUGUGACAUACUUCUUGGCCAUGAACCCAGGUUAUGUGAGCCUUUCUGUGCCCUGCCCAUGUGGACAAUUGUGACAUAUUACCGAGUCCUACACCCAGGCGAUGCUACUCUCCUGUCUGGUCCUUGCCUACAGGGAACAUUGUGACAUAUCUCUUUGCCAUUCAUCCAGGUUCUGCCCACAGGGAAGAUUGUGGUGAAUUACUGAACGCGAUACCUAGAUGAAGGAGAGACUAUAACAUACCUCUUGGCCCAGCACCUAGUUGAUGUAACUCUGCUCUCCUGCCUGGGCCACACCUACAGAAGAAAGAGUGACUUCUCACUGGGCCAGCACACAGGUCAUGUUAUUUUACUGCCUUGAUCCUUGUCCACAAUAAUCAUUGUACAUAGUUUUGGGCUCUUCUACUAGAAGACGUGCGGGAUGGUUAAAUAUCACUGGACCUAGCACCUAGGGAAUGUGACUCUUGUCUUUUGCAUCAGCCCCACUCGUUUUGAGAACUGUAACAUAUCACUGGGCCAAACACCUAGAAGAUGGGAAGUGUCUGCCUAUGCCCUGCAAACAGGGCUUUAGCCCUACCACUCUCAAGAGCCUCGUGACAUAUCUCUGCAUUCAUCAUCUAGGAGAUGUGACUCCUCCCUGCUGCCUGCGCUCUGCCUACAGGGAAGACCAUAACAACAUUUGGCCCAGCAACACGGUGAUGUGUUUUUUCCCAGGGCCUUGCUCACAGGGAGCAUUGUGACAUAUCACUGGAACCAGCAUCCAGGGCUGUGACUCUGUGUCCUGCUGUUAGAACAGGAUUGUAACAUAUCACUGACCAAGCACCCAGGUGAUGUGACUCUUCUGCCUGGUGCCUGCCUUCAGGGAAAAUUGUGACAUAUGCCUGGCCUAGCACCAAAGUGAUGUGGCUCUCCUGCUACCUCUAUGCACAGGUGGGAUUGUGACAUAUACCUUCAUUCAGCUCAUAGGUGAGGUGAUAACUCUCAUACCACAAACCAAACAGUAGGAGAGAUGCUGUCUGUCAAAGCUAAGCUUACAGAAAUACACAAGAUUCAGGGACUUUUCUUUGUAUAAACAUUAUAGUAGAUUACUGCUCUCUUGUAUAUAAUAUAAACUUCUCAGGUGGUACAGAGAGUGUCAUCACAGGGCCCAGCGCACAGGUGAGAAUACAUUAUUUGUAUGCACGCCCCACCACCCAUUAGGAUUUUCACCCUCAAACAUGGAAAGAGCCUACUGGUAAGGUCUUGAAUCUCACACCUGGAUGCAGUCUACAGUUGAAAUUGUGAUUGUCAUAGGUGAAUAUCCAGCUGCAGUUGAGAUGGUGACUCAUUUCUAACUUAGCUCUGAGGCAGGUGAGGACUGUUUUAUUUGGAACCAGCCAAUUAUAAAGAUGUUGACUCUCAUAUUUGAGCUUAGUUCUACAGGUACAAUCAUGGGUCCAUAACAUCAUGAAGGUCAUAGAGCAGUUUGCAACUCUCAUUAAUACUGUAGAAGGCUCUUGGGUGGUACUGAGAGGGUCUUAGCAGAGCCCCGCACACAGGUGAGAUUGUGACACUCAUAUGCACACCCAGCCAACAAUAAAACUUUUCAUCUUUCCACAUGAACACAGCCCACUGUUGAGGUCCUGAGUCUCCCUUGUGAAAACAGUGCAAAGUUGAAAAAUUGACUCUUAUAUGUGGAUUUGGUUCACAGAUGGGUUGGUGAUGCUCAGACAAAUAUUCAGCACACCUGUGAGUCUGCGACUCCAGUAAUCAUCCACAGUCUGCAGGAGAAAUUGAGGCUCUCACCAACAAAUCAAGUGCACAAUUGAGAUUGCGACUCUUGUACUCAGACCCAACAUACAGAAUGUGUUGACUCUCAAUUUUAAAACCAGAACAUGUGUGAGAUUAUUAAUCUGAUCUCUAAACCAUCCUGCAAGUGUGAUUGUGACACAAGUCUCUGUUCAGUACUUGAGUGAUUUGACUCCUUUGCCUGGGCCCAGUCCAAAGAUGUAAUUGUGACAUAUCACUGAAACCAGCAUAUAGGAGAUGUGUCUCCAUACUCCUGCCUUGGUGCUGCCCACAGUGGGCACUGUGACAUAUCACUGGGCCUUGUAUCCAAGUGAUGUAAGUCUCUUCUUUCUUGAUACUGACCACAGGAGACACUAUGACAUAUCCCUGGGCCUCAAGCUCAGCUUAUGUCAUUCUCCUAUUUGUUCUCUGUCCACAUGGGCCAUUGUGACAUACUGCUGAGUUUGGCAUCCAUGUGAUAUAACACUUCAGCCUCAGCUUUGCUCACUUGGGGCAUUGUGAUGUAUCUCUGCACCCAUCACUUAGAUGAUUCAACUCUUUUCUUCUGUCUCAUCUGUGCUUAAAACGGGCAAUUGUUACCUAUUGCUGGGUCCAGCAUGUAGCUGAUGUGUCUCUUCUCAUCUUCCUAAGGACUGCCUGCAGGGGAUAUGGUGACAUUUUACUUUGCCCAGCACCAAGAUGACUUGAAUCUGCUGCCUUUGUUCUACUUUCAGAAGACAUUGUGACAUAUCGCUGGGCCUAGCACCAAGGUGAUGUGAAUCUUCUGCCUGGACCUGCUCACAGAGGGAAUUGUUACAUAUUUUUGACUUCAUCAACUAUUUGAUGUGACUCUCCUCUCUAACCUGGGCCUUGCCCAUAAAAAACAUUGUGGCUUAUCUCUGGGCCCAAAACCUAGGUGAUGUGACUGUCUUCUUAGGGUCAUGCCCACAGUAGAGAGAUGCCUUAUUGCUAAACCCAGCACACAGGUGAGGUGAUUCUUCUGUCUGGUCCCUGCCCACAGGGGUCAUGAUGACAUCUCUCUAAGCCCAUCACCUAGAUUAUGUGAGUUCUCUUUUUCUUCUGUUAGCUAUAUAGAAGAUUGUGACAUAUUGCUUGGCCCAGACCUCAUGUGAUGUGAAUCUCCUCUCAUGCCUUGGUCCUGUUUUUUUUUGGCCGUUGUUGUUUUGUUUUGUUUUUUGAGAUGGAGUCUUGCUCUGUUGCCUAAGCUGGA